GCUGGGUGUGGUGGUUCAUGCCUGUAAUCCCAGUAGCUUGGGAGGCUGAGGCAGGAGGAUCGUGAGUUCAAAGCCAGCUUCAU
rnacentral:sRNA from 1 species